CCUACGGGAGGCAGCAGUGGGGAAUCUUGCACAAUGGGCGAAAGCCUGAUGCAGCGAUGCCGCGUGCGGGAAGAAGGCCCUAGGGUUGUAAACCGCUUUCAGGAGGGAAGAAAAUGACGGUACCUCCAGAAGAAGGUGCGGCCAACUACGUGCCAGCAGCCGCGGUGACACGUAGGCACCAAGCGUUAUCCGGAUUUAUUGGGCGUAAAGAGCUCGUAGGCGGUUUGGUAAGUCGGGUGUGAAAACUCUGGGCUCAACCCAGAGAGGCCACUCGAUACUGCUAUGACUAGAGUACGGUAGGGGAGCGGGGAAUUCCUGGUGUAGCGGUGAAAUGCGCAGAUAUCAGGAGGAACACCAGCGGCGAAGGCGCCGCUCUGGGCCGUAACUGACGCUGAGGAGCGAAAGCAUGGGUAGCAAACAGGAUUAGAUACCCUGGUAGUCCAUGCCGUAAACGUUGGGCACUAGGUGUGGGUCUCAACCAACGAGAUCCGCGCCGUCGCUAACGCAUUAAGUGCCCCGCCUGGGGAGUACGGUCGCAAGACUAAAACUCAAAUGAAUUGACGG
rnacentral:rRNA from 1 species